rnacentral:rRNA from 1 species
ACUCAAAUGAAUUGACGGGGACCCGCACAAGCAGCGGAGCAUGUGGUUUAAUUCGAAGCAACGCGAAGAACCUUACCAGGUCUUGACAUCCCAAUGAUUGGUAUAGAGAUAUACCUUUCCUUCGGGACAUUGGAGACAGGUGGUGCAUGGUUGUCGUCAGCUCGUGUCGUGAGAUGUUGGGUUAAGUCCCGUAACGAGCGCAACCCCUAUAUUUAGUUGCCAUCAUUAAGUUGGGCACUCUAGAUAGACUGCCGGGGAUAACUCGGAGGAAGGUGGGGACGACGUCAAAUCAUCAUGCCCCUUAUGGCCUGGGCUACACACGUGCUACAAUGGCCGGAAACAACGGGAAGCAAAGCCGCAAGGUGGAGCAAAUCCUUUAAACCCGGUCCCAGUUCGGAUUGUGGGCUGCAACUCGCCCACAUGAAGUCGGAGUUGCUAGUAAUCGCGGAUCAGCACGCCGCGGUGAAUGCGUUCCCGGGUCUUGUACACACCGCCCGU